GUCACUUGAUAAACAAACAACCGUGUGCUAGAAAUAUAAAUACCUAAUUGAUAAAUUAUAAAAAUGGAAGGUAAAAACCACCAACGGGCACCCAAUUAUACAUGUGACGAAAGUAUGGUUUUAUGUAACCUCGUAGACAAAUAUAAUUUCAUAGUUGAAAAUAAAAAAAACUGAUGGUUAGACCGUAGCCGAAAAACAGAAGGCUUCGAAGAUGCUGAGAAAAGAAUAAUAUAACGCCAACACCACUUAUGUACCCAGAACUACUGAGAAUUUACUGAUAUACCUAGAUAGCAAAGUUUUACACGCGUCUGUAGUUCAGACAGUGGAGCUCCAUGGACAAGACUGGGAAACGGUGUCGGCUGAUGUUAAUCUCCCCCCAGAGGAAUGCCAAACAACAUUCAAUAUUUUAAGUAAAGAAGCGAAACAAUCAUCAAGCAAAAUAAAACAACAAGCCAUAUUUUAAGAUUUAGGUAUAUAAUAUACAGUGGUAAUUAAUAAUAAUAAACAUGUUUUUAAAUCAACUGGUGUUUGGUACUGGUGACGCUAUAACCUUGCAAAAUAGUUAUUGAUCAGCGAAGUUCUUGCAUUGUUCCCAGACUGUAAGGCACGAGGAGGUUGGUCUAUAUAGAUUGUUGUGGUAUUUUUUGUAAGACGAAAGCUUUUAAUAAAUUCAUCAUCUCGAUAAGCACGAAACAAAUCUGUUAUUUUAGUAGUUAACCCUCCUAUAAAAGUAAGGGGUAUUCAAAUAUUCAAUCAUUUCUUUAUC